CAGUCGACGAUGAACCAGGUGCUUGCACUUGGGGAUUAGUGGCGAACGGGUGAGUAACACGUGAGUAACCUGCCCCUGACUCUGGGAUAAGCCCGGGAAACUGGGUCUAAUACCGGAUAUGACUGUUCACCGCAUGGUGGGUGGUUGAAAGAUUUAUCGGUGAGGGAUGGACUCGCGGCCUAUCAGCUUGUUGGUGAGGUAAUGGCUCACCAAGGCGACGACGGGUAGCCGGCCUGAGAGGGUGACCGGCCACACUGGGACUGAGACACGGCCCAGACUCCUACGGGAGGCAGCAGUGGGGAAUAUUGCACAAUGGGCGAAAGCCUGAUGCAGCGACGCCGCGUGAGGGAUGACGGCCUUCGGGUUGUAAACCUCUUUCAGUAGGGAAGAAGCGAAAGUGACGGUACCUGCAGAAGAAGCGCCGGCUAACUACGUGCCAGCAGCCGCGGUAAUACGUAGGGCGCAAGCGUUAUCCGGAUUUAUUGGGCGUAAAGAGCUCGUAGGCGGUUUGUCGCGUCUGCCGUGAAAGUCCAAGGCUCAACCUUGGAUCUGCGGUGGGUACGGGCAGACUAGAGUGAUGUAGGGGAGACUGGAAUUCCUGGUGUAGCGGUGAAAUGCGCAGAUAUCAGGAGGAACACCGAUGGCGAAGGCAGGUCUCUGGGCAUUUACUGACGCUGAGGAGCGAAAGCAUGGGGAGCGAACAGGAUUAGAUACCCUGGUAGUCCAUGCCGUAAACGUUGGGCACUAGUGUGGGGGACAUUCCACGUUUUCCGCGCCGUAGCUAACGCAUUAAGUGCCCCGCCUGGGGAGUACGGCCGCAAGGCUAAAACUCAAAGGAAUUGACGGGGCCC
rnacentral:rRNA from 1 species